UUAAGCGACUAAGCGUACACGGUGGAUGCCCAGGCAGUCAGAGGCGAUGAAGGGCGUGCUAAUCUGCGAUAAGCGUCGGUAAGGUGAUAUGAACCGCAACAACCGACGAUACCCGAAUGGGGAAACCCAGUGCAAUCCGUUGCACUAUCAUGUCAUGAAUACAUAGUGGCAUGAGGCGAACCGGGGGAACUGAAACAUCUAAGUACCCCGAGGAAAAGAAAUCAACCGAGAUUCCCCCAGUAGCGGCGAGCGAACGGGGAACAGCCCAGAACCUGAAUCAGUUUGUGCCUUAGUGGAAGCGUCUGGAAAGUCGCGCAGUAAAGGGUGACAGCCCCGUACACAAAAAGGCACUUGCUGUGAGUUCGAUGAGUAGGGCGGGACACGUGACAUCCUGUCUGAAUAUGGGGGGACCAUCCUCCAAGGCUAAAUACUCCUGACUGACCGAUAGUGAACCAGUACCGUGAGGGAAAGGCGAAAAGAACCCCGGCGAGGGGAGUGAAACAGAACCUGAAACCGUGUACGUACAAGCAGUGGGAGCACCUUCGUGGUGUGACUGCGUACCUUUUGUAUAAUGGGUCAGCGACUUAUAUUCUGUAGCAAGGUUAACCGUAUAGGGGAGCCGCAGGGAAACCGAGUCUUAACUGGGCGUUAAGUUGCAGGGUAUAGACCCGAAACCCGGUGAUCUAGCCAUGGGCAGGUUGAAGGUUGGGUAACACUAACUGGAGGACCGAACCGACUAAUGUUGAAAAAUUAGCGGAUGACCUGUGGCUGGGGGUGAAAGGCCAAUCAAACCGGGAGAUAGCUGGUUCUCCCCGAAAGCUAUUUAGGUAGCGCCUCGUGAAUUCAUCUCCGGGGGUAGAGCACUGUUUCGGCUAGGGGGCCAUCCCGGCUUACCAACCCGAUGCAAACUGCGAAUACCGGAGAAUGUUAUCACGGGAGACACACGGCGGGUGCUAACGUCCGUCGUGAAGAGGGAAACAACCCAGACCGCCAGCUAAGGUCCCAAAGUCAUGGUUAAGUGGGAAACGAUGUGGGAAGGCACAGACAGCCAGGAUGUUGGCUUAGAAGCAGCCAUCAUUUAAAGAAAGCGUAAUAGCUCACUGGUCGAGUCGGCCUGCGCGGAAGAUGUAACGGGGCUAAACCAUGCACCGAAGCUGCGGCAGCGGACGUAUCACCCAAGCAGAUUCACUGAAGUGGAUAACGAUUGACGGAGCGCAGCGACGUCAAUGCGCCAUCAAAGUCGAGUCGACUUCGGGAUACGUCCGUUGGGUAGGGGAGCGUUCUGUAAGCCGUCGAAGGUGUGCUGUGAGGCAUGCUGGAGGUAUCAGAAGUGCGAAUGCUGACAUAAGUAACGAUAAAGCGGGUGAAAAGCCCGCUCGCCGGAAGACCAAGGGUUCCUGUCCAACGUUAAUCGGGGCAGGGUGAGUCGACCCCUAAGGCGAGGCCGAAAGGCGUAGUCGAUGGGAAACGGGUUAAUAUUCCCGUACUGGGUGUUACUGCGAAGGGGGGACGGAGAAGGCUAUGUUAGCCGGGCGACGGUUGUCCCGGUUUAAGCGUGCAGGCUUGAGUUCCAGGCAAAUCCGGAACUCUUUAAGGCUGAGGCGUGAUGACGAGGCACCACGGUGCUGAAGUAACAAAUGCCCUGCUUCCAGGAAAAGCCUCUAAGCAUCAGGUAACAUCCAAUCGUACCCCAAACCGACACAGGUGGUCAGGUAGAGAAUACCAAGGCGCUUGAGAGAACUCGGGUGAAGGAACUAGGCAAAAUGGUGCCGUAACUUCGGGAGAAGGCACGCUGGCGCGUAGGUGAAGCGACUUGCUCGUGGAGCUGAAGCCAGUCGAAGAUACCAGCUGGCUGCAACUGUUUAUUAAAAACACAGCACUGUGCAAACACGAAAGUGGACGUAUACGGUGUGACGCCUGCCCGGUGCCGGAAGGUUAAUUGAUGGGGUUAUCCGUAAGGAGAAGCUCUUGAUCGAAGCCCCGGUAAACGGCGGCCGUAACUAUAACGGUCCUAAGGUAGCGAAAUUCCUUGUCGGGUAAGUUCCGACCUGCACGAAUGGCGUAAUGAUGGCCAGGCUGUCUCCACCCGAGACUCAGUGAAAUUGAACUCGCUGUGAAGAUGCAGUGUACCCGCGGCAAGACGGAAAGACCCCGUGAACCUUUACUACAGCUUGACACUGAACAUUGAGCCUUGAUGUGUAGGAUAGGUGGGAGGCUUUGAAGCGUGGACGCCAGUCUGCGUGGAGCCAACCUUGAAAUACCACCCUUUAACGUUUGAUGUUCUAACCUGGCGCCGUAAUCCGGCGUGGGGACAGUGUCUGGUGGGUAGUUUGACUGGGGCGGUCUCCUCCCAAAGAGUAACGGAGGAGCACGAAGGUCAGCUAAUCACGGUCGGACAUCGUGAGGUUAGUGCAAUGGCAUAAGCUGGCUUGACUGCGAGAGUGACGGCUCGAGCAGGUGCGAAAGCAGGUCAUAGUGAUCCGGUGGUUCUGAAUGGAAGGGCCAUCGCUCAACGGAUAAAAGGUACUCCGGGGAUAACAGGCUGAUACCGCCCAAGAGUUCAUAUCGACGGCGGUGUUUGGCACCUCGAUGUCGGCUCAUCACAUCCUGGGGCUGAAGUAGGUCCCAAGGGUACGGCUGUUCGCCGUUUAAAGUGGUACGCGAGCUGGGUUUAGAACGUCGUGAGACAGUUCGGUCCCUAUCUGCCGUGGGCGCUGGAAGAUUGAGAGGGGUUGCUCCUAGUACGAGAGGACCGGAGUGAACGCACCGCUGGUGUUCGGGUUGUCAUGCCAAUGGCAUUGCCCGGUAGCUAAGUGCGGAAAAGAUAAGCGCUGAAAGCAUCUAAGCGCGAAACUUGCCUCGAGAUGAAUCUUCCCUGACUCCUUGAGAGUCCUGAAGGGACGUUGAAGACGACGACGUUGAUAGGCCGGGUGUGUAAGCGCAGCGAUGCGUUGAGCUAACCGGUACUAAUGACCCGUGAGGCUUAACCUU
rnacentral:rRNA from 2 species